UUUUUUUUUUUUUUUUUUUUUUUUUUUUUUUUUUUUUUCCGC
rnacentral:ribozyme from 1 species